rnacentral:rRNA from 1 species
GUAGUCCACGCCCUAAACGAUGUCUACUAGUUGUCGGGGAUUAAUUUCCUUGGUAACGCAGCUAACGCGGGAAGUAGACCGCCUGGGGAGUACGGUCGCAAGAUUAAAACUCAAAGGAAUUGACGGGGACCCGCACAAGCGGUGGAUGAUGUGGAUUAAUUCGAUGCAACGCGAAAAACCUUACCUACGCUUGACAUGCCAGGAACCCUGCUGAAAGGUGGGGGUGCUCGAAAGAGAGCCUGGGCACAGGUGCUGCAUGGCUGUCGUCAGCUCGUGUCGUGAGAUGUUGGGUUAAGUCCCGCAACGAGCGCAACCCUUAUCAUUAGUUGCUACGAAAGGGCACUCUAAUGAGACUGCCGGUGACAAACCGGA